GCGACUCUGAAAACUAGAAGGU
rnacentral:miRNA from 1 species